rnacentral:rRNA from 1 species
GACGAACGCUGGCGGCGUGCUUAACACAUGCAAGUCGAACGGAAAGGCCCUGCUUUUGUGGGGUGCUCGAGUGGCGAACGGGUGAGUAACACGUGAGUAACCUGCCCUUGACUUUGGGAUAACUUCAGGAAACUGGGGCUAAUACCGGAUAGGAGCUCCUGCUGCAUGGUGGGGGUUGGAAAGUUUCGGCGGUUGGGGAUGGACUCGCGGCUUAUCAGCUUGUUGGUGGGGUAGUGGCUUACCAAGGCUUUGACGGGUAGCCGGCCUGAGAGGGUGACCGGCCACAUUGGGACUGAGAUACGGCCCAGACUACUACGGGAGGCAGCAGUGGGGAAUAUUGCACAAUGGGCGGAAGCCUGAUGCAGCAACGCCGCGUGCGGGAUGACGGCCUUCGGGUUGUAAACCGCUUUCGCCUGUGACGAAGCGUGAGUGACGGUAAUGGGUGAAGAAGCACAGGCUAACUACGUG